rnacentral:rRNA from 1 species
GAUGAACGCUGGCGGCGUGCUUAACACAUGCAAGUCGAACGGAAAGGCUCCUGCUUGCAGGGGUACUCGAGUGGCGAACGGGUGAGUAACACGUGGGUGAUCUGCCCUGCACUUCGGGAUAAGCCUGGGAAACUGGGUCUAAUACCGGAUAGGACGAUGGUUUGGAUGCCAUUGUGGAAAGUUUUUCGGUGUGGGGUGAGCUCGCGGCCUAUCAGCUUGUUGGUGGGGUAAUGGCCUACCAAGGCGUCGACGGGUAACCGGCCUGAGAGGGUGUACGGCCACAUUGGGACUGAGAUACGGCCCAGACUCCUACGGGAGGCAGCAGUGGGGAAUAUUGCACAAUGGGCGCAAGCCUGAUGCAGCGACGCCGCGUGGGGGAUGACGGCCUUCGGGUUGUAAACUCCUUUCGCUAGGGACGAAGCGCAAGUGACGGUACCUGGAGAAGAAGCACCGGCUAACUACGUG